UAUCCGGAUUUAUUGGGUUUAAAGGGUGCGUAGGCGGAAGUUCAAGUCAGCGGUAAAAUCGAGGGGCUCAACCCCUUUAAGCCGUUGAAACUGGGUUUCUUGAGUGGGCGAGAAGUGUGCGGAAUGUGUGGUGUAGCGGUGAAAUGCAUAGAUAUCACACAGAACUCCGAUUGCGAAGGCAGCACACCGGCGCCCAACUGACGCUGAGGCACGAAAGCGUGGGGAUCAAACAGGAUUAGAUACCCUGGUAGUCCACGCAGUAAACGAUGAACACUAGGUGUGCGGGUCGAAUGAGAUCUGCGUGCCACAGCGAAAGCGUUAAGUGUUCCACCUGGGGAGUACGCCGGCAACGGUGAAACUCAAAGGAAUUGACGGGGGCCCGCACAAGCGGAGGAACAUGUGGUUUAAUUCGAUGAUACGCGAGGAACCUUACCCGGGCUCAAACGGCAGAGGAAAGUUUUUGAAAGGAGGCUGCUCUACGGAGCCUCUGCCGAGGUGCUGCAUGGUUGUCGUCAGCUCGUGCCGUGAGGUGUCGGCUUAAGUGCCAUAACGAGCGCAACCCCUACCGCCAGUUGCCAUCAGGUAAAGCUGGGGACUCUGGCGGGACUGCCGGCGCAAGCUGUGAGGAAGGCGGGGAUGACGUCAAAUCAGCACGGCCCUUACGUCCGGGGCGACACACGUGUUACAAUGGCAGGUACAGCGGGAAGCCACCGAGCGAUCGGGAGCAGAACCCGAAAACCUGUCUCAGUUCGGAUUGGAGUCUGCAACUCGACUCCAUGAAGCUGGAUUCGCUAGUAAUCGCGCAUCAGC
rnacentral:rRNA from 1 species